GCCGGGCGUUGUGGCGGGUGCCUGUGGUCCCAGCUACCUGGGAGGCUGAGGUAGGAGACUUGCUUGAGCCCAAGAGUUGGAGGUUGCUGUGAGCUGUGAUGCCAUGGCACUCUACCCAGGGGGAUAGCUUGAGGCUCUGUCUCCAAAAAAAAAAAAAAAUUCCACUGGAGAUGUUUUUCUAAAAAUGAUUCUGACAAGUUAUUUUUAUUUAUUUAUUUAUUUGCUUUUUUUGAGACAGAGCCUCAAGCUGUCACCCUGGGUAGAGUGCUGUGGCAUCACAGCUCACAGCAACCUCCAACUUCUGGACUCAAGCGAUUCUCCUACCUCAG
rnacentral:SRP_RNA from 1 species